rnacentral:rRNA from 1 species
GACGAACGCUGGCGGCGUGCCUAAUACAUGCAAGUAGAACGCACAGUUUAUACCGUAGCUUGCUACACCAUAGACUGUGAGUUGCGAACGGGUGAGUAACGCGUAGGUAACCUGCCUGGUAGCGGGGGAUAACUAUUGGAAACGUUAGCUAAUACCGCAUAAUAUUAAUUAUUGCAUGAUAAUUAAUUGAAAGGUGCAAUUGCACCACUACCAGAUGGACCUGCGUUGUAUUAGCUAGUAGGUGAGGUAACGGCUCACCUAGGCGACGAUACAUAGCCGACCUGAGAGGGUGAUCGGCCACACUGGGACUGAGACACGGCCCAGACUCCUACGGGAGGCAGCAGUAGGGAAUCUUCGGCAAUGGACGAAAGUCUGACCGAGCAACGCCGCGUGAGUGAAGAAGGUUUUCGGAUCGUAAAGCUCUGUUGUAAGAGAAGAACGGGUGUGAGAGUGGAAAGUUCACACUGUGACGGUAUCUUACCAGAAAGGGACGGCUAACUACGUG